rnacentral:lncRNA from 1 species
AUGGGGCCCUCCUCCCCCCCGGGACCCUCCUCCACCCCGGGGCCCUCCUCCACUGUGGGACUCCCCUCCACCCCUGGGCCCUCCUACACCGUGGGGCCCUUCUCCCCACUGGAGCCCGCCCUGUCUCCUCUCUCUCCCCCUGUGCCCUCCUCCACCCUGAGACCCUCCUCCCCCCCGGUGCCCUCCUCCGUCCUGGGACCCUCCUCCACCCUGGGGCCCACCUCCACCACGGGGCCCUCCUAUAUGACGGAGACCUCCUCCACCACGGGGACCUCCUCCACCCUGGGAACCUCCUCCACCCUGGGACCCUCCUCCAACCCGGGGCCCUCCUCCACCAUGGGGCCCUCCUCCACCGUGGGGCCCUCCUCUGUCAGCAGCAGCAGUAGCUCCGGGCCUACGUCCUGUGGGGUUACCCAUGGCCGUGCAGAGGGACGGAGCUCUAGAGGAGACCCCGCCUCCAGCGGCAGAGGUGUCGUGGAGGGGGAGGAUCAGGGGGUGGAGGAGGGGGAGGAGCAGGGGGAGGUGGAGGAGGAGGAGGAGGAGCGAAGUGAGGGCCCACGGCGUUACACCAAGCUGCUCCAGCUCCUCACUGACACACCGACGACGCACGGCGACGACCAAUCCGAACACGCCAGGGACCCAGGAGGCGGGGCCAGUGCCUGCGGGGGGGCGGGGCCUAAUGGUAACUCCUCCCUGAAGGACAAGCACAAGAUCCUCCAUCGCCUGCUGCAGCAGAACAGCUCCGCCCCCGGGGGAGGGGGGGAGGGAGGGGAGGAGGGGAGGAGAAAGGACAACGCCCUCCUAAGGUACCUGCUGGACCGGGACGACCUUCAGGAGAGAGGAGGAGACCAGGAGAAGGUCACCAGGCAGGAGCCCGCCAGGGCACAGCAGGCCAGUGAGCUUGAGGACCUACUGGAAGACCCCCAGGGCAGGGCUCCAUACCGGCUCUGCCCAGGAAAGAUAGCUGGAAGACGGGCCUCUGUCCCCCUCUCCUCCUCCUCCUCUCUCCCCCUCUCCUCCACCUCAUCUCUCCCCCUCUCCUCCACCUCCUCUCUCCCCCUCUCCUCCUCCUCUCUCCCCCUCUCCUCCACCUCCACCUCUCUGGACAAUCAGAGCAUCAUCAGUGACCUCCUGCAGAUGAUGGAGAGUGUACCUAGCACCACCCAGAACCCAGCCUCACGUAAGUCUUUAACCACACCCAGCCUGACGUAG